GUUCUUUUCCUGGAGGAGCUCUACGGUGAUUUUGAAGACUUGGAAACGGGACGUGCACAAGGGAAAAUCGGGCCCCGACACUCAGAAUGAAGAUAUAGAGAAACAAGGAAGAAAUUGACCCUGACGAAGAAGAAAGUGCCAAGAAAAAGCAUUUGGAUAAGAAGAGAAAAUUGAAGGAGAUGUUUGAUGCAGAAUAUGAUGAAGGAGAAAGCACAUAUUUUGAUGAUCUUAAAGGAGAAAUGCAGAAAGAAGCACAGCUGAAUCACGUAGAAUUUGAAGAUCAAGAUGAUGAAGCCAGAGUUCAGUAUGAGGGUUUUCGACCUGGGAUGUAUGUCCGCGUUGAGAUUGAAAAUGUUCCCUGUGAAUUUGUGCAGAACUUUGACCCCCAUUACCCCAUUAUCCUGGGUGGCUUGGGCAACAGUGAAGGAAAUGUUGGACACGUGCAGAUGCGUCUGAAGAAACAUCGCUGGUAUAAGAAAAUCCUCAAGUCCCAAGAUCCAAUCAUAUUUUCUGUAGGGUGGAGGAGGUUUCAGACCAUCCUGCUCUAUUAUAUCGAAGACCACAAUGGAAGACAAAGGCUUCUAAAGUAUACGCCACAGCACAUCCAUUGUGGAGCAGCCUUUUGGGGUAAAAUAUGAUUACAAUAACUUGCCUAUUGCCGAGAUUAAACUUUACAGGCUGUGUUAUUUUA